rnacentral:rRNA from 1 species
CCAGACUCCUACGGGAGGCAGCAGUGGGGGAUAUUGCACAAUGGGGGGAAACCCUGAUGCAGCGACGCCGCGUGAGUGAAGAAGUAAUUCGUUACGUAAAGCUCUAUCAGCAGGGAAGAAAAUGACGGUACCUGACUAAGAAGCCCCGGCUAACUACGUGCCAGCAGCCGAGGUAAUACGUAGGGGGCAAGCGUUAUCCGGAAUUACUGGGUGUAAAGGGAGCGCAGACGGCAGUGCAAGUCUGGAGUGAAAGCCCGUGGCUUAACCACGGGACUGCUCUGGAAACUGUGCAGCUAGAGUGCAGGAGAGGCAGGCGGAAUUCCUAGUGUAGCGGUGAAAUGCGUAGAUAUUAGGAGGAACACCAGUGGCGAAGGCGGCUUACUGGACUGUAACUGACGUUGAGGCUCGAAAGCGUGGGGAGCAAAC